rnacentral:tRNA from 1 species
GGGGGAGUGGUAUAGCUUGGUCUAGCAUUCCAGCCUUGGGAGUUGGAGACCCGUGUUCAAAUCACGGCUCCCCCA